AUUUUUAUCAAAUUUCUUUUCUUCUCUAUAUAUAUUUUCAU
rnacentral:antisense_RNA from 1 species